rnacentral:lncRNA from 12 species
CCCCCCCCCCCCCCCCCCCCCCCCCCCCCCCCCCCCCCCCCUCGCCCUUGCGCAGCGCCGGGAGGAGCUGGGGUUUUUCAUCAGGUCGGGGGUAAAAGAGAAAUAAAAGGAGGAGAAAGUUUCCAGGCGUUUUCCCGGGACGUCCCGGCUCCCCGCGCUCGCUGCCAGCUCCUCCCUCGGGGAGCCGCGGUUCGCGGCUGGGCAGAGAGCUCCCCCCCCCCCCCCCCCCCCCCCCCCCCCCCCCCCCCCCCCCCCCCCGGGGGGCCGCGGUUCGCGGCUGGGCAGAGAGCUGCUGGUGCUGGCAGCGCCCUGGAGCCGGGGCUGUGCCCUGCGAGGGGACGGCGAGGGGGAGGCGGGGACGGCGAGGGGAUGUUGGGGUGUUGGGAUGCUGGGGUGUUGGGAUUUUGGGGAUGAUGGGAUGUUGGGUUUUGGGAUUUUGGGAUGUUGGGAUUUUGGGUUGUUGGGAUGUGGGAUGUUGUGAUGUUGGAAUUUGGGGAUUUUGGGACACUGGGAUGUUGGGAUGCUGGGAUGAUGGAAGUUGGGUUAUGUUGGGAUUUUAGGUUGUUGGGAUGCUGGGAUGAUUGGGAUGUUGGGAUUUUGGGGUGUUGGGAUGCUGGGAUUUUGGGAUGUUGGGUUGUUGGGGUGUGGGAUGUUGGAAUGCUGGGAUUUUGGGAUGCUGGGAUGUUGAGUUGUUGGGAUGAUGGGAUGUUGGGUUUUGGGAUGUUGAGAUGUUGCGAUUUUGUGACACUGGGUUUUGGAAUGUUGAGAUGUUGGGAUCUUGUGACACUGGGAUGUUGGGAUGUGGGGAUGUUGGAAUAUUGGAAUGUUGGAAUGCUGGGAUGUUGGGGUGUGGGGAUGUUGGAAGUUUGGAAUGCCUGGAUUUUGGAAUGUUGGGAUGUAGGGAUGCUGGGAAGUUGGAAUGCUGGGAUUUUGGGACGCUGGGAUGCUGGGAUAUUGGAAUGUUGGAAUGCUGGGAUGUUGAGAUGUAUGGAUAUUGGGAUGUUGGGAUGUUGAGAUGUAUGGAUAUUGGAAUGUUGGGAGGUUGAGAUGUAUGGAUAUUGGGAUGUUGGGAUAUUGGGAUGUUGGGAUGUUGGGGAGCCUGGGAGGUGCUGGGCUCUCCCUCUGCCCUCCUCAGCUCCCACGGGCAGAUGAGGAUUUCUAAGGAACAGUGAAAGUUUC